GUGUGAAUCAAGUCAUGAAAUACCCUAAUUUAAAUAUUACACGUGAUAAUUAAAUAGCUAAAUAUAUAACUUACCUUUUUUUCUAUUAAAUCUGAAAUAACUCUUCGCGCAUUUUAUCCUCUGGUGUUUCCUAUCUUACGGAUCAUGCAUCUAUCUUCUCUUCACGAAAAGUAUUAGGAUACAGACUUUAUACAAAUAAAGGCAUAUGUAAAUGCGCGAAUAAAUGUUUCCACGAAGAUGUUUAUGCCGGAAUUGGCUUAGAGAUGAAGCUAAAAUCCAAGUAUACCCUAGACCCUAUAUAUACAUCGCCACUCCUCCAUACGGUAGCUUCGUGUGUGGCGUCUACUGAUACUUUAAAUAAUAUACGAGUGCCGGACGAUCCUCAUAUCUCAGAGGGAAGUAUUUUGCAUGCAGCCACCACCUAUCUUUUGGAAUAAUCUGAAAAUGAAACCACAUCAAUACGACAAACGUCCUAUGUCAACAGAAGCUUCA